rnacentral:rRNA from 1 species
GGGCCCGCACAAGCGGCGGAGCAUGCGGAUUAAUUCGAUGCAACGCGAAGAACCUUACCAAGGCUUGACAUGCACCGGAAACUUCCAGAGAUGGUUGCCCCGCAAGGUCGGUGCACAGGUGGUGCAUGGUUGUCGUCAGCUCGUGUCGUGAGAUGUUGGGUUAAGUCCCGCAACGAGCGCAACCCUCGUCCCAUGUUGCCAGCGGGUUAUGCCGGGGACUCAUGGGAGACUGCCGGGGUCAACUCGGAGGAAGGUGGGGAUGACGUCAAAUCAUCAUGCCCCUUAUGUCUUGGGCUUCACGCAUGCUACAAUGGCCGGUACAAAGGGUUGCGAUACCGUGAGGUGGAGCGAAUCCCAAAAAGCCGGUCUCAGUUCGGAUUGGGUCUGCAACUCGACCCCAUGAAGUCGGAGUCGCUAGUAAUCGCAGAUCAGCAACGCUGCGGUGAAUACGUU